GAUGAACGCUGGCGGCGUGCCUAAUACAUGCAAGUCGAGCGAACAGACGAGGAGCUUGCUCCUCUGACGUUAGCGGCGGACGGGUGAAUAACACGUGGAUAACCUACCUAUAAGACUGGGAUAACUUCGGGAAACCGGAGCUAAUACCGGAUAAUAUAUUGAACCGCAUGGUUCAAUAGUGAAAGACGGUUUUGCUGUCACUUAUAGAUGGAUCCGCGCCGCAUUAGCUAGUUGGUAAGGUAACGGCUUACCAAGGCGACGAUGCGUAGCCGACCUGAGAGGGUGAUCGGCCACACUGGAACUGAGACACGGUCCAGACUCCUACGGGAGGCAGCAGUAGGGAAUCUUCCGCAAUGGGCGAAAGCCUGACGGAGCAACGCCGCGUGAGUGAUGAAGGUCUUCGGAUCGUAAAACUCUGUUAUUAGGGAAGAACAAAUGUGUAAGUAACUAUGCACGUCUUGACGGUACCUAAUCAGAAAGCCACGGCUAACUACGUGC
rnacentral:rRNA from 1 species